UCCCACUCCCGCUCCCGCCUGGCCGGGAUUGGAGGAGGCGCCUCGGCGCAGACUUCCUUCUCCCGCGGCUCGCCCCUUCCUGGCGGCCGCUCCCAGACUCGCCGAGCCGGUCCCCUCUCCCCGGGUCCUGUUCCGCUCCGGCAGGGCUUAGUCCAUCCCGGCACUGGGGGCUGCUCGCCGCUGAUCGGAUCGGAUGUUUGGCCGGAGCCACAGACAGGGACACGACUCUGCUUUACUUCGAGAAGGAAGCAUCUGGAGAGAGGGAGGGAGAGGAAAAGCAAUCCGACCAGCCCGCUCAGAGGUUUCUUGGGGAGAAUACAUCAGUCUGAAGAUUGCUACCUUUUGCUGAUCGUCACAAGAGAGAAAGCAGGACUUUGCUUUCUGGCUUUCCUGUUGGAGACAGCAGUCGUUAGGAUUUAAUGCAUCGCAGCAUCCUUCGUGUGACGCCUCAGGACUGCGCUCCAGGCAAAGCAUCAGCUUCCUGGAAACGGACAGAUAUGUUGCUGAGAUAAUCUCGAGAGUAAGCCCACAGACUCCUUUACUCUCAUCACUGAAAGAGUUCAACAAUUGAGAAAAGAAGGAGAAAGAGAAGGAGAUGUCGUCUUACUUGGUCCCUUCUUUGUUCCAAAACUUGAGUAUGAACUAACUACCGUAUUGAAAAUAUUGCUCAAAGAAUGUAUUUGUUUAAAUAUAUAACACACACUCUCUAUCUCAUGUCUAUUUAUAUACUGAAACCUUCUGUGAGAGCCUGAUCUCAUCAGAUCUCAAAAGCUAAACAUGGUCAGCCUUGAUUAGUAAUUGGAUGGGAGACCUCCAGUGAAG